GCAUGUAGAAGCCCAAAAUUUUAGUAUAAAUAAUGGAGCAAAUGAACAGACAUUCAAGCCAGCCGAUGCUGAUGCACAUACCCUGAAAGCCUGAUGAGAACCUAGACUGACAUCCCAACUCUUCUCAUCAUCUGCCUGAUCCUCUGCAUGGUCCUCACUGCUUUCAAACUCUACAGCAGUCUCUUGACCCUGGUGAAAAAGGCGACUUCUCCUUAGGACCAACCGUCUCCUCAGCCAGCUGUCAACUCCACACCAGGCAAAGCCUCUGUCAGUUCCUGACCCGAUCAUAGUGGUCUGAGUGUCAACUACUUUGAGCCACUGAGCUUCAAGUAAAAAUUAUUGGCAUUCGAGUACAGAGUUGGGCUGACUCAACUCUCCCACCAACUAGAUGUGAUUCUUAAUCCUCCCAGAUUCCAAUCUCCCCACCUGAAGAAAUAAUAGCUAACAGCUGACAGUUAAAUUAUAUCAAGUGCCUUA